rnacentral:rRNA from 1 species
AGUUGGUGGAGCGAUUUGUCUGGUUAAUUCCGAUAACGAACGAGACUCUAAUGUGCUAAAUAGUUACGCGACCUUAUCGGUCGGCGUUUGGAAACUUCUUAGAUAGACUAGUGGCGCUUAGCCACACGAAAGUGAGCAAUAACAGG